UACGUAGGUGGCAAGCGUUGUCCGGAUUUAUUGGGCGUAAAGCGAGCGCAGGUGGUUUCUUAAGUCUGAUGUGAAAGCCCACGGCUCAACCGUGGAAGGUCAUUGGAAACUGGGGAACUUGAAUGCAGAAGAGGAGAGUGGAAUUCCAUGUGUAGCGGUGAAAUGCGUAGAUAUAUGGAGGAACACCAGUGGCGAAGGCGACUCUCUGGUCUGUUAUUGACACUGAGGCUCGAAAGCGUGGGGAGCAAACAGGAUUAGA
rnacentral:rRNA from 1 species